ensembl:lncRNA
GCAGGCUGAGAGUCGCAGAUGCCAACAGACUUAAUAAACUAAUCCAUAAGGCCAGCAAUGUUGUGGGGAUGGAGCUGGACUCCCUCAAGGUGGUGUCGGAGAGGCAGAUGCUGUCCAAGAUAAAGACAAUGUUGGAUAACACCUCCCACCCACUCCAUGACAUGCUGGUCAGUCACAGGAGCUCGUUCAGUGAGAGACUGAGAUUACCGAAAAGCACCACUGAACGACACAGAAAUCGUUCCUGCCUGUGGCCAUCUCCCUGUACAACGCAUCCACUUAACACACUGUUUGCUACUACAGCUACACAUGUUUCUUUUCCAACUAUUUAUUUAUGAGUGACUUAUGUAUGUAUGUAUGUAUAUAUAUGUAUAUAUUAUACUAUUCUUAGUUAGUGUAUUGUCUGUCUUGUCUUAAUGUUGGUUUAAAAUGGAGCACUGUAACAAUAAAUAAUUUCCCCCAGGGAUCAAUAAAGUAUUCUGAUUCUGAUUCUUUAGGGUUUGUUUUGUUCUCCAACUGCUAAUUUUCCAGAAAUUUUGGAGCAUUUUUUAAGGUCCCCCCAUGAAACUUUUUUUUCCCCAUUUUGUUAGAUAUGGCACAGCUGAAAAUAAAAGAAAACCACUCUAAUUUGUCAUGUGUUGUUAUAUAUUUUAUAUAUUUUGAUGACAAGUACUUUUUGUUAUAUUGGGUAAAAAUCACCCGGCGUUAGUGAUGGUGUUACUAUUUUUAGCGAUAGUGUUCUAGGGUUAAAUGUACCUAAACACUUUGUAGUUCUUUAUGGAAUUAUAGGAACUUUUUAAGUAUGUUUGGCUAUAAUUUGUUGAGUGCUCUAGCAUUUCACAAACAAUCUUGUCAUAUGCUGUGGGAGUGUCUGGUUGGGUGUGGUCCAGGUUCCUGUCAUUUGUCCCUGGGAGUGGAGUUGGCCAGCUCAUCACCUGUUGUCAAUCUCCGGGGCUCCACCUAGAGGGUUUUUAAGCCAGCACGGCCUGCCACUCCUCGCCAGUUUGUCCUGCUACCAUCUGUGAUUCUCCACCCAUCGCACUCACCAGUAGUGCUGUUUUUGGUCUCCAUCCUGUCCUCCCAUCUGCUCGGAGCCCGAGGAUUAUAUACUCCACUUCUCCUCAGCCUGCCCUUCAGUCUGUAUUCUCCAUCUCUUCGAAAUCUGGACCGGACUCUCCACUCUUGACCCUCUUUGGAAUAUACCCCUGGCAGCCUUUUCCCCGUUAAAUGACUAGGGUCGCCAAGUAAGCCCAAGACUAUUCACUGGCACUCCGUACCUUUGUCCCUUACUCGUUUGUUUCCC